rnacentral:tRNA from 1 species
UGGGGAGUGAUGUAACGGCAGCAUGGGAGACUUUGACUCUCUUCGUCCAGGUUCGAACCCUGGCUCCCCAA